CAUCUCCUGUUAGGGGCAGAGGGCUAGGCCUAGGCCGUGCUAGAGGCCAAGGUUGGGGCAGAGCUCAGCCCCGAGCAGAAGCACCAGCGGCGGAGCCUCAGGUUGACUUUGAUGAUGAGUUUCCGACCCCAACAGUUCCGGUGGGCCCUGCUCAGGUCCCAGAGGGGUUUAUUGCUACCCCAGUUCUUCAGGAUGCUCUGGUCUGUUUAGUGGGCCUCAUGGAGAGUGUCACCCGAUCAGGCUUGCUUCCUGUAGCACCAGCCAUCUCUCAGGCUGGAGGAGGAGCCAAAACUCCUGCUACUCGCACUCCGGAGCAGGUAGCUCCCCAGAUUCAGACUCCAGCGGUUUAGCCAGUUGGAGCAGUUCAGCCAAGUGUGGUAGCUUAGACCGGUGAUGGAGCAGCUAUGUUUGCCGAUGCUUUGUGGAGGUUGGAUAGGUUCACCAAGCUCUUCACUACUACUUUCAGCGGUGUAUCUACUAAGGAUCCCCAAGAUUAUCUAGACAGUUGUCAUGACGUUCUCAGGAACACAGGGAUAGUUGAGACUAAUGGGGUCAAUUUUGCCAUUUUUCGCUUGUCUGGAUCCGCCAAGACUUGGUGGAGGGAUUUCUGUUUGGCUAGACCAGCCGGAUCCCCAGCCUUGACUUGGGAGCAGUUUACGCAGCUAUUUCUGGAGAAGUUUCUCCCCAUCACUCAGAGAGAGGCCUAUCAGAGGCAAUUUGAGUAUCUCCAACAUGGUUCCAUGACUAUUACCCACUAUGAGACCAAAUUCAUCGAUUUGGCUCGUUAUGCUCUCAUCAUACUUCCCACCGAGAGAGAAAGGGUGAGGAGGUUCAUUGAUGGACUUAUUUAGCCGAUUCAUCUUCAGAUGGCUAGGGAGGCUGGGAAUGAGAUUUCUUUCCAGCAAGCAGCCAAUGUGGCUCAGAGAGUUGAGAUGAUUCUGUCACAAGGAGGUGGUCAUAGGUCGGACAAGAGACCCUGUCAUUCAGGCCGAUUCAGUUGUACCUCGUCUGGAGGUAUGGAUUCAUAUGGUAGAGGCCAUCCUCCUAGGACUUUUCUGUCAGAACAUCAGGUUUCUUACGGUGCUUCAGGUAGCCGUGGUCCUCAAAUGCAGUAUUCUAAUCAGCAGUCCUACAGUGCACCACCAGCUCCUAUCAGUGCACCGCCGCUUUAGAGUUUUCGGGAUGGUCAUUCAGGUUGCCAGGGCCAGCAGUCUCAGUAGUCGAAGGCUUGCUACACUUGUGGCGAUAUGGGGUACAUUUCCAGGUAUUGCCCUCGAGCACCGAGUAGUUCUCAGCAUCAGGGUUCUCGUGCUAUAGUUCAGGCACUAGAUGUUCCACAGCCCGCCCAGCCAGCUAGAGGUAGGGGUAGAGGUGGAGGUAAAGGUAUUAGAGGUGGAGCUUAGGCCGCUAGAGGUGGAGGCCAACCAGCAACAGGCCGUCCCAGAGAUGUAGUUCAGGGUGGUGGGGCCCAGCCCCGAUGUUACGCUCUUCCAGCCAGGCCCGAGGCUGAGGCUUCCAAUGUUAUUAUUACAGGUACGGUUCUGGUUUGUGAUAGAGAUGCUUCAGUAUUAUUUGACCCAGGGUCUACGUACUCGUAUGUGUCCUCUUAUUUUGCACCGUAUCUGGUCAUGCCUAGUAAUUCUUUGAGUGAUCCUGUUUAUGUGUCUAUGCCGGUGAGUGAUUAUAUUGUGGUAGAUCGAGUCCAUCGUUCAUGUAUAGUUUUGAUUGAAGGUCUUGAGACUCGUGUAGAUUUGCUUCUUUUGGACAUGGUCAAUUUUGAUGUCAUAUUAGGGAUGGACUGGUUAUCACCUUACCAUGCUAUCUUGGACUGUCAUACCAAGACUGUGACCUUAUCCUUACCAGGUUUACCUCGUUUAGAGUGGAGAGGGACUCCUUGUCAUUCUACCCAUAGUGUUAUCUCUUAUAUGAAGGCUCGACAUAUGGUCGAGAAAGGGUGUUUGGCCUAUUUGGCAUAUGUUCGUGAUUCUAGUGCAGAGGUUCCUUCUAUUGAUUUUGUGCCCGUUGUUCGUGAGUUUCCUAAGGUAUUUCCUUCAGACCUGCCGGGUAUGCCACCCGACAGGGAUAUUGACUUUUGCAUUAAUUUGGCUCCAGGCACUCAACUCAUUUCUAUCCCGCCGUAUCGUAUGGCCCCGCCUGAGUUGAAGGAGCAGUUGCAUGACUUGCUUUAAAAAGGUUUCAUUAGGCCUAGUGUUUUGCCUUGGGGUACGCGGGUUUUUUUUGUUAAGAAGAAGGAUGGAUCGAUGAGGAUGUGUAUUGAUUACCGGCAGUUGAACAAGGUUACAAUCAAGACUAAGUAUCUAUUGCCGAGGAUUGAUGAUUUAUUUGAUCAGCUUCAGGGUGCCAAGGUAUUUUCGAAGAUUAACUUGAGAUCUGGCUACCAUCAGUUGAGUAUUAGGGCAUCUGAUGUCCCUAAGACAGCUUUCUGCACUCGGUACGAGCAUUAUGAGUUCUUGGUGAUGUCAUUUGGGUUGACGAAUGCCCCAGCAACUUUUAUGGAUUUGAUGAACCGAGUGUUCAGGCCUUACUUGGAUUCGUUCGUGAUAGUCUUCAUUAAUGAUAUUUUGAUAUAUUCCCGCAGCCGGGAGGAGCACGAGCAGCAUCUUAGAGUGGUUCUUUAGACCUUGAGGGAUAGUCAGUUAUAUGCUAAGUUCUCAAAAUGUGAGUUCUGGUUGAGUUCAGUUGCAUUCCUGGGUCAUGUUGUAUCAGCAGAGGAUAUUCAAGUUGAUCCGAAGAAGAUUGAGGCAGUCAAGAACUGGCCUAGACCAGCAUUAGCCAUAGAGAUUCGGAGUUUCUUGGGAUUGGCAUGUUACUAUCGAUGGUUCGUGAAGGGGUUUUCAUCUAUCGCAGUCCCGAUGACCAGGUUGACCCAGAAGGGUGCCCCGUUCAUAUGGUCAGAUGAGUGUGAGGCGAGCUUUUAGAAGCUCAAGACAGCUUUGACUACGGCACUGGUAUUGGUUUUGCCCACAGGUUCAGGGCCUUAUACAAUUUAUUAUGACGCAUCUCGCAUUGGACUUGGUGCGGUGUUGAUGCAGGAUGGCAAAGUCAUUGCUUAUGCUUUGCGAUAGUUGAAGAUUCAUGAGAAGAUUAUCCAGUUCAUGAUUUGGAGUUCGCAGCCAUUGUUCAUGCGUUGAAGAUUUGGAGGCAUUAUCUGUAUGGCGUGGCAUGUGAGAUGUUCACGGAUCACAAGAGUCUACAGUACUUGUUCAAGCAAAAGGAGUUGAAUUUGAGGCAAAUAAGGUGGUUGGAACUAUUAAAGGACUAUGAUAUCACCAUCUUAUAUCAUACGGGAAAGGCCAAUGUGGUAGCCGAUGCUUUGAAUAGGAAGUCAGCCAGUAUGGGCAGUCUUGCUUAUAUUCCGGUCGGUGAGAGACCGCUUGCUUUGGAUGUUCAGGCUUUGGCCAAUCAGUUCGUGAGGUUGGAUGUUUCUAAGCCUAGUCGUGUGUUAACUUGCACGGUCACUCGUACUUCUUUAUUGGAGCAUAUCCAUGAUCGGCAGUAUGAUAAUCCCUAUUUGUGUGUCUAUAGAGACACAGUGCAGCGCGGAGGUGCCAAGCAGGUUACCUUAGGUGAUGAUGGGGUUUUGAGAUUGCAGGGUCGAGUUUGUGUGCCUGAUGUGGAUGGGCUUCGAGAGUUGAUUUUGGAGGAGGCCCACUUCUCCCGGUACUCUAUUCAUCCGGGCACCGCGAAAAUGUAUCAGGAUUUGCAGCAGCAUUAUUGGUGGCGGAGAAUGAAGAAGGAUAUUGUAGCAUUUGUGGCUCGGUGUUUGAAUUGCCAGCAGGUUAAGUAUGAGCAUCAGAGGCCUGGUGGUUUGUUCCAAAAGAUUGAGAUUCCUGAGUGGAAGUGGGAACGGAUCACUAUGGACUUCGUUGUUGGACUCCCACAGGCUCGCAGGAAGUUCGAUGCAGUGUGGGUUAUUGUUGAUAGGCUGACCAAGUCAGUGCAUUUCAUUCCUAUGGCAGUCUCCAAUUCUUCUGAGAGGUUAGCUGAGAUCUAUAUCCGGGAGAUUAUUCGUCUUCAUGGUGUGCUCGAGUCUAUCAUCUCGGAUUGAGGUACGCAGUUUACCUACCAUUUCUGGAGAGCAGUUCAGCGAGAGUUGGGCAGGCGGGUUGAGUUGAGCACAACGUUUCAUCCUCAAACGGACGGGCAGUCAGAGCGGACUAUUCCGAUUUUGGAGGAUAUGCUUUGAGCUUGUGUCAUUGACUUUGGAGGCUCAUGGGAUCAGUUUUUGCCUUUAGUAGAGUUUGCCUACAACAACAGCUACCAGUCGAGUAUUCAGAUGGCUCCGUAUAAGGCUUUAUAUGGUAGGAGGUGUCGGUCUCCGGUUGGAUGGUUUGAGCCGGGAAAGGCUCAGUUGUUGGGUACGGAUCUGGUUCAGGAUGCCUUGGACAAGGUCAGAAUUAUUCAGGAUAGGCUUCGUACAGCUCAGUCCAGGCAAAAGAGCUAUGCCGAUCGAAAAGUUCGAGAUUUGGGUUUCAUGGUCGGUGAGCGGGUAUUGCUUCGAGUGUCGCCUAUAAAGGGGGUAAUAAGAUUUGAGAAGAGGGGCAAGCUUAGCCCUAGGUUCAUUGGCCCAUUUGAGAUUCUUGAUCGAGUAGGAGAGGUGGCUAAGAGACUUGUAUUGCCGCCGAGCUUAUCAGUCGUGCAUCCAGUGUUUCAUGUGUCCAUGCUACGAAAGUAUCACGGCGAUUCAUCCCACGUGUUAGAUUUCAGCACUGUCCAGUUGGACAAGGACUUGUCUUAUGAGGAUGAGCCGGUAGCUAUUCUAGACCAGCAGGUUCGUCAGUUGAGAUCGAAGAGUUUUCCUUCUGUUCGUGUUCAGUGGAGAGCUCAGCUCGUUGAGGCAUCGACCUGGGAGUCCGAGUCCGAUAUGUGGAGCCGUUAUCUCCAUCUUUUUCUCGACUCAGGUAUUUCCUUCCUAUGUUCGUUCGAGGACGAACGGUUGUUUUAGAGGUGGAGAAUGUGAUGUCUCAAGGUCAUCACUUGUGUUGCAAGUGAAUUCAGUGUUCCGAGGCCUAAAAACCUCCCUUUUACCUCACCUUUUUUUACGUGCGUGGUCUGGACCUAUAUUCGGAAAGCCUUCUAUGUGAAAAUAUGAGAAAUAGAAAUUCUAGAGUUAAAAUUUGAUUAUGGUUGACUUUCGUCAAUAUUUUGAGAAAAAUGAACCCGGAUCGGUGUUCCGAUGAUCCCGGGAGGUCCGCAGUAAAAUAUGGGACUUGAGCGUAUGCCCGGAAAUGAAUUCUGAGGUCCCAAGCCUUAGAAAUCAAUUUUUGAAAGAAAUUAUUUUACUGAAUUAUCUAAGAAAUAAAGAAAAGAAUUAAUGUUUGAAACCACUGUUAUUGGGCCCAUACUUUGGUUUCGGAGCCCAGUACAAAUUUUUUAUAGUAUUUGAAAGAUAACUGUGAAAUUUGGUGAAAAACAGAGUUUAUUUGACGUGAGUUGGACUUCCGAUUGAAGAGUUAUGAACUUUGAGAGUUCUUGAUGAAAUUGUUGAGUUUUGAGGUUUAAUUCAUGAUUUUACAUGUUAUUUUGAUGAUGUGAUCGUACGAGUAGGUCCAUAUGAUAUUUUUGAGUUAGUAUGCACAUUUGGUUUAGAGUCCCGAGGGCUCGGGUGAGUUUCGGGUGGGUUCUGGGGUGGCUUAGGCUUAAAACAUGGCUAUUAGGUUCAGAGAAGUGCAGCUCUCUGAACCUGCUAGUGCGGUCCGCACUGGUUUUGUGAUGUCCGCACUGGUGGUUGUGCGGCCGUAGUGGAUCUUGUGCGGCUCCGCACAGGUUCACUGGUGACUGUGCGGACACAGUUGAUUUUGUGCGGUCCGCACAGGGCAUC
rnacentral:lncRNA from 1 species